rnacentral:piRNA from 1 species
UGCAGUAAGGUUGUGAGGUCCCCACAAC